rnacentral:rRNA from 1 species
UGGGGAAUCUUGCGCAAUGGGGGAAACCCUGACGCAGCGACGCCGCGUGCGGGAUGAAGGCAUUCGGGUUGUAAACCGCUUUCAGCAGGGACGAGGCCUUAUGGCGACGGUACCUGCAGAAGAAGCUCCGGCUAAAUACGUGCCAGCAGCCGCGGUAAUACGUAUGGAGCAAGCGUCAUCCGGAUUCAUUGGGCGUAAAGCGCUCGUAGGCGGUCUGUUAGGUCGGCAAGUUAAAAACGGGGGCUCAACCCCCGUCCGCCUCCGAUCCCGGCAGAGUUGCGUUUGGUAGGUGAAGGUGGGGUUCCUUGGGUGGCGGUGGCAUGCGCAGAUAUUAAGAAGAACCCCGGUGGCAAGGGCGGCCUUCUGGGCCAUAACUGACGCUUAGGAGCGAAAGCUAGGGGAGCGAACAGG